rnacentral:rRNA from 1 species
GUGAGGAAUUUUCCGCAAUGGGCGAAAGCCUGACGGAGCAAUGCCGCGUGAAGGAUGAAGGCCUAUGGGUUGUAAACUUCUUUUCUUAGAGAAGAAUAUUGACGGUAUCUGAGGAAUAAGCAUCGGCUAACUCUGUGCCAGCAGCCGCGGUAAGACAGAGGAUGCAAGCGUUAUCCGGAAUGAUUGGGCGUAAAGCGUCUGUAGGUGGCUUCAAAAGUCUCCUGUCAAAGAUCAGGGCUUAACCCUGGGCCGGCAGGAGAAACUCUGAGGCUAGAGUUUGGUAGGGGCAGAGGGAAUUCCCGGUGGAGCGGUGAAAAGCGUAGAGAUCGGGAGGAACACCAAAGGCGAAAGCACUCUGCUGGGCCACAACUGACACUGAGAGACGAAAGCGAGGGGAGCAAAAGGGAUUAGAAACCCGAGUAGUCC